rnacentral:rRNA from 1 species
UACAGAGGUCUCAAGCGUUGUUCGGAUUCAUUGGGCGUAAAGGGUGCGUAGGCGGCGCGGUAAGUCGGGUGUGAAAUCUCGGAGCUUAACUCCGAAACUGCAUUCGAUACUGCCGUGCUUGAGGACUGGAGAGGAGACUGGAAUUCAUGGUGUAGCAGUGAAAUGCGUAGAGAUCAUGAGGAAGACCAGUGGCGAAGGCGGGUCUCUGGACAGUUCCUGACAGCUGAGACACGGAAGGCCAGGGGAGCAAACGGG